UCCGUAGGAUGCAAGCGUUGUCCGGAAUUAUUGGGCGUAAAGCGCGCGCAGGCGGCAUAUCAAGUUGGACGUGAAAUUUUAGGGCUUAACCCUAAAGGGUCGUCCAAAACUGGUAAGCUAGAGUGCAGGAGAGGAAAGCGGAAUUCCCGGUGUAGUGGUGAAAUGCGUAGAUAUCUGGAGGAACACCGGUGGCGAAGGCGGCGUUCUGGACUGUUUCUGACACUGAAAAACGAAAGCCAGGGGAGCAAACGGG
rnacentral:rRNA from 1 species